AUUACACAAUUCGAAUUUAGAUAUACGAUCGAUGAUCAAUUGUAUUCAUUGUCCAUCCAUGAACAACUUUACACAAUCGCACCUCUGGUCAUCCAGUAAGUUAAACUGCUAAUAGAGAUAACUUCAAUUCAAUGUUGUUGCCAGAUAAUGCUGUGAGUGAAGGUAUGUUCAACUCAGUUGUAAAUAAUACCUAAGUACUUUUAAAUUGAUGAGUCACCUACAAUAUUCUUCGAAC